CCCCUCUCAGGGUCGCACCCGGAGAGUUUCCAGUCCUCUACCGGUCUCGGCUACGGGAGGGAGAGUCCAGCGGAGGCCUGUCCAUUCCAUUCCUAGCUCGGGCAGAGGCUAACGAGUGGAAGGCCAUCCGCUACAAGU